rnacentral:rRNA from 1 species
CCUACGGGCGGCAGCAGUGAGGGAUAUUGGUCAAUGGGGGAAACCCUGAACCAGCAACGCCGCGUGAGGGAAGACGGUUUUCGGAUUGUAAACCUCUGUCCUCGGGGAAGAGAAUGACGGUAGCAGAGGAGGAAGCUCCGGCUAACUACGUGCCAGCAGCCGCGGUAAGACGUAGGGAGCAAGCGUUAUCCGGAUUUACUGGGUGUAAAGGGAGCGUAGACGGCAGUGCAAGUCUGGAGUGAAAGGCGGGGGCUCCACCCCCGGACUGCUCUGGAAACUGUCCGGCUGGAGUGCAGGAGAGGUAAGUGGAAUUCCUAGUGUAGCGGUGCAAUGCGUAGAUCUUAGGAGGAACACCAGUGGCGACGGCGGCUUACUGGACUGUACCUGACGUUGAGGCUCGAAAGCGUGGGGAGCAAACAGGAUUAGAUACCCGAGUAGUC